UUAUAUAAUAAAUCAUUUUGCUUUGGAAUAUAACAUUCACUGAGAUGCAGCUUCCACCUUACAUAUAUUUUUCCAUUUAAGUUAGAAGCUAUGCGGGAUAAUCAUUUUGAUGUGGGAGUUCAGCAUGGAAGAUAGUUAGCAAGAACUUUAUGUUUUACUGGUAUUAGAGUUAUGUAUAUAGUACUUGUAACAAGGUACGACCCGAAAGAUUUUUUUUAACUGCUCAUGGAAUGUUUUAAGAAAUAUGAUAUAUUUAUCUUUUAGAGAUCUAUGAUUUUUUCUAGUAUAUAUGUAUAUUAGAGUUUGUUGGGGUGGUUAUAUAUAUUUUGAAGUUUAUGAAAAGCAGGUUCUUAUAUGAAUAGUUAUGUGAUAAUGGAUAUCGAGAAAAUUUAGGAGAAAUUCUAUUGAAAUUUCGGGUCGUGACAGUGUAAUUUUGUCCAGCCAGGUAUUUGGUUCCCUAAGCUAGCCUCUACUUGAAGAAAUGCUCUUAUGCCAUAAAAAAUCGAUGAUUUCAGAAGCAAUCGGCAUUUGAAGCCUCGAGCACCUAAGAUUGCUCUUCAUUGAAAUGCCUAAAAAUGAGCAGUCUCAGUUUGGAAUAUCCUCAACGAAUGGGCACAGAAAUGGAGCUGGAUCUUGGUCUAUUGUAUCCACAUAGAGAUAGCUUUGAUAGGUCCUUCAAGUUUGCGAUGAUUAGAAAAGAUUACGUUAUAGGACAGUUAUUAGUGUAUAUUAUAAAUAUGGUUGCCUUUCCUAAAGUUUGUAGGAUAGUAUAUAUAGGAGCUCUAGCUCUUGACGUUUGAAAAGUCUCGAAUAUCCAGAACUUGCUAGGAUCUCACUUUACAAAUACUUGUAAGUGCGGGAUCUUCGGACUGACAAAAGUAAGUCAACAAGAGAAACAGCUUCUACGUGUGUAAUCGCUUUCCUUUUGACAAUUAAAUAUUGCUAGGCAAAAGUGCCUUAUCUGCCCUCGUGUGAUAUUGUGAAACCCAUGAUUUUUUAUACACCCAUAUAUAUAGUCAUAUAUGGUUGUAAUAUAUCUAUAUAUUUAUAUUUAUAUAUAGAGAGCAGCUAAGUUAAAAAAAUGGGUUUAUUGAUUUGGUUUGGGCUAAGCCCAUUAAGCCCACCCAUUUUUCCUAUCCUGAACCUUCUGCACCUGCCUCUUCAUUUCUUUGGGUUUUUAUUUAUUGGGACUUUGGGAGUUCUGAUAAUCAGGAAAAAAAAAAAAAAGAAGAGAGAAAGAGAUCAAAGUGGGAGAGCAUCAAAUAGGGUAAAGCGUAGCUUACAUUGAACUAGGUUAUGGGUUAUCUUAGAUGAGUUAGAAGUGCUAGUAGCGUUGGAGAGACUUUUGACGCCAGGGAUCAGCGCGAAGAAUUUUGCAGCUAGAUCUACUUAGAGUAUAGGUAGUAAGUUUAUGUAGCAUGUUAAAAAUACGUCGCGAUCUGAAAACUUUUGUUGAGUUAAGUCUAUGGGUGUUAUAAAGGAUUAUGUUAGAUGUUCUCGAGAUGGAUAGGUUACUUGAGAUGCGUUUAUAUAUAUAUAUAUAUAUAUUUAUUAGAAUUGGCUAGUCGGAUUAUGUAUAUGAAAGUUUAUAAUAUAUAUAGCAGGUUGAUUUUGAAAUGGAAUAUUAUGAAUUUUAGGAAAAAUUAUGCUGAAAUUUCGGGUAAUGACACUUAAUUCUCCUUUUUACUUGAAGGAGAAACAGA